UACGACUACAUAUCAGGCAUAUCAAUAAGCGGAGGAAAAGAAACUAACAAGGAUUCCCUUAGUAACGGCGAGUGAAGCGGGAAGAGCUCAAAUUUGAAAUCUUCAAGGUUUUACCUUGACGAAUUGUAGUUUAAAGAAGUGUUUUCUGUUGAAGUUUUGGUAAAAGUUCUUUGGAAUAGGGACAUCAUAGAGGGUGAGAAUCCCGUAUUUGACAUUAUUCUUUCUAGCUGUGUGAUACACUUUUCAAAGAGUCGGAUUGUUUGGGAAUGCAGUCCAAGAUGGGUGGUAAAUUUCAUCUAAAGCUAAAUAUUGGCGAGAGACCGAUAGCGAACAAGUACCGUGAGGGAAAGAUGAAAAGAACUUUGAAAAGAGAGUUAAACAGUACGUGAAAUUGUCAGAAGGGAAGCGUUUGACACCAGUGUUGUUUUUCCGAAAAUCAAUUAAGAGUGGCUUGAUUUUGUGUUGUAUUGACCUUAUCAGCUUUCUUCACUCUUUUUCGAGUCUUUCUUAAUGCACUUUUCGGUUAACAAGUCAACAUCAAUUUCUUUUGUUGUAAAAGGGUAUUUGGAAGGUGGCUUUCUUUUCGGAGAAAGUGUUUAUAGCCUUAUACCUCUACAAUCGGAGAGAUUGAGGUCUGCAGCGUAGAUCCUUCGGGGCUAGAUACACUUGUGCUAAGUUAUAGCUUUUCAUAGACAACUUGUUGACUAUGUUUAGUCAUGUAGCUUACCCGCUUGCGCUAUUUUACCUACGCUUAGGAUGUAUCUCUCUCACACACACGAGGAGGUAGGAAAAGAGAGAGAUACAUCCUAAGCGUAGGUAAAAUAGCGCAAGCGGGUAAGCUACAUGACUAAACAUAGACAACUUGUUGACUAUGUUUAGUCAUGUAGCUUACCCGCUUGUGCUAUUUUACCUACGCUUAGGAUGUUGAUCUACAGAGCGAGAGU
rnacentral:rRNA from 1 species